GGGGGGGGUAUACUGUUUUACCUCUGUCUGUCAGUCCGUCCGUCAGUCCGUCCGUCAGUCAGUCCGUCCCAUGAAACUUUCGUCACAUUUUUCUCAGGAACUACACAUCCAUCCUUUCUGUAAUUUGGUAUCAACAUUUAUAUAUGUCAGCCAUACCGUGUGAUGCGUUUUCAGAUUCAUCACUUGACAACUUCCUGUUUACCGAAAAAACUUGUAUGAUUUUACACAUGAUAUCCAAGUUGAAAAUUUUCGUCACAUUUUUCUCAGGAACUACAAUACAAGGAUUUCUGAAAUUUGG
rnacentral:lncRNA from 1 species